CAGCAGCGCGGGAAUACGUAGGGUGCAAGCGUUAAUCGGAAUUACUGGGCGUAAAGCGUGCGCAGGCGGUUAUAUAAGACAGAUGUGAAAUCCCCGGGCUCAACCUGGGAACUGCAUUUGUGACUGUAUAGCUAGAGUACGGCAGAGGGGGAUGGAAUUCCGCGUGUAGCAGUGAAAUGCGUAGAUAUGCGGAGGAACACCGAUGGCGAAGGCAAUCCCCUGGGCCUGUACUGACGCUCAUGCACGAAAGCGUGGGGAGCAAACAGGAUUAGAUACCCCGGUAGUCCCUGUCUCUUAUACA
rnacentral:rRNA from 1 species